GGAAACCGGAGCUAAUACCGGAUAAUAUUUUGAACCGCAUGGUUCAAAAGUGAAAGACGGUCUUGCUGUCACUUAUAGAUGGAUCCGCGCUGCAUUAGCUAGUUGGUAAGGUAACGGCUUACCAAGGCAACGAUGCAUAGCCGACCUGAGAGGGUGAUCGGCCACACUGGAACUGAGACACGGUCCAGACUCCUACGGGAGGCAGCAGUAGGGAAUCUUCCGCAAUGGGCGAAAGCCUGACGGAGCAACGCCGCGUGAGUGAUGAAGGUCUUCGGAUCGUAAAACUCUGUUAUUAGGGAAGAACAUAUGUGUAAGUAACUGUGCACAUCUUGACGGUACCUAAUCAGAAAGCCACGGCUAACUACGUGCCAGCAGCCGCGGUAAUACGUAGGUGGCAAGCGUUAUCCGGAAUUAUUGGGCGUAAAGCGCGCGUAGGCGGUUUUUUAAGUCUGAUGUGAAAGCCCACGGCUCAACCGUGG
rnacentral:rRNA from 1 species